rnacentral:tRNA from 1 species
UUUAAUAAGGUGUUAUGCACGUUACAUUUUGGUUGUAAAAGUGGUUAGUUACCUGUUAAAU